rnacentral:rRNA from 1 species
GAUGAACGCUGGCGGCGUGCCUAAUACAUGCAAGUCGAGCGAACGGACGAGAAGCUUGCUUCUCUGAUGUUAGCGGCGGACGGGUGAGUAACACGUGGAUAACCUACCUAUAAGACUGGGAUAACUUCGGGAAACCGUAGCUAAUACCGGAUAAUAUUUUGAACCUCAUGGUUCAAAAGUGAAAGACGGUCUUGCUGUCACUUAUAGAUGGAUCCGCGCUGCAUUAGCUAGUUGGUAAGGUAACGGCUUACCAAGGCAACGAUGCAUAGCCGACCUGAGAGGGUGAUCGGCCACACUGGAACUGAGACACGGUCCAGACUCCUACGGGAGGCAGCAGUAGGGAAUCUUCCGCAAUGGGCGAAAGCCUGACGGAGCAACGCCGCGUGAGUGAUGAAGGUCUUCGGAUCGUAAAACUCUGUUAUUAGGGAAGAACAUAUGUGUAAGUAAAUGUGCACAUCUUGACGGUACCUAAUCAGAAAGCCACGGCUAACUACGUG